rnacentral:rRNA from 1 species
UGAACGCUGGCGGCGUGCCUAAUACAUGCAAGUCGUACGAGGUUAAUCCAGCUUGCUGGAGAGACCUAGUGGCGAACGGGUGAGUAAUACGUAAGUAACCUGCCUGCAAGGACUGGGAUAACACCUGGAAACGGGCGCUAAUACCGGAUAGGUAACAGAGGGGCAUCCCACUGUUAUUAAAGGUUAAAGACACAAGCAGAUGGGCUUACGGUGCAUUAGCUAGUUGGUGAGGUAACGGCCCACCAAGGCGAUGAUGCAUAGCCGGCCUGAGAGGGUGAACGGCCACAUUGGGACUGAGACACGGCCCAGACUCCUACGGGAGGCAGCAGUAGGGAAUUUUCGGCAAUGGGCGCAAGCCUGACCGAGCAACGCCGCGUGAAGUGAAGAAGAAUUUCGGUUCGUAAAGCUCUGUUGUAAGGGAAGAAUAACACGGAGAGAAUCCGUGCAUGACGGUACCUUACCAGAAAGCCACGGCUAACUACGUGCCAGCAGCGGC